UAUUUCAACAUAUUUGCACAAUAACCUGAAUAGGAUUAAGUUGAUGUGUGUAACAACUCGUCAUUCUUUGCUGACAUCUGGAGUCUAAUGUGAAACUGGCAGCCACCAGACAGUUUUUCGUGAAUAUCAUCAGGGAAAAUAAGGAAUGAAAUACAAGAGAGCGUCGUGCAUUACCACCAUAGUAUAAACAAAAGAAAUCCAAGUUGCGGGCCUAAUUAAAUGGUUCCUGAGGAGCUCAACAUGGUCAACAGGAGAAACCUAAGCUGAUUAACUCACCAGAUGCUUUAGAUUUCCCCUGGGAUUUCCUUCCAUAGAAUAGUUCCUAUUCCGUGAUGGUACAUAAUUCAAUAAGUCGUAUAUGCAUUUGGCAAACGAGGAAGGUACUGCCAGCAAUUGAGAUUUCUCCCGUUUCUUCAUGUCGUAAUUACUCGUGAAUUGAACGUAUCUGCAAUACAUUAAUUCGCUAUCAUGCGCACUACUCACGAUAGAUUUUCGACACUUGGGAAUGGAAAAGAACUCGAUCUUUUUGCAUGAG